GCCUAAAUAUCCCAAAGGCACCAGAUCCCAUUUGAUUGUGAAAACUAAGCAGGACCAACCCUGGUUAGUACUUGAAUGGAAGCCCAUCAGUGAAUAUCAGGGGCUUUAGGCU
rnacentral:rRNA from 1 species